GGGCAGUUCAAUCCUGGUUCGGAACUCCA
rnacentral:misc_RNA from 1 species